UACGUAGGCAGCAAGCGUUGUUCGGAGUUACUGGGCGUAAAGGGCUCGUAGGCGGCCAACUAAGUCAGACGUGAAAUCCCUCAGCUUAACUGGGGAACUGCGUCUGAUACUGGAUGGCUUGGAUUCGGGAGAGGAAUGCGGAAUUCCAGGUGUAGCGGUGAAAUGCGUAGAUAUCUGGAGGAACACCGGUGGCGAAGGCGGCAUUCUGGACCGAUAUUGACGCUGAGGAGCGAAAGCCAGGGGAGCAAACGGG
rnacentral:rRNA from 1 species